UGGGGAAUAUUGCACAAUGGAGGAAACUCUGAUGCAGCGACGCCGCGUGAGGGAAGAAGGUAUUCGUAUUGUAAACCUCUGUCUUCGGGGACGAUAAUGACGGUACCCGAGGAGGAAGCACCGGCUAACUACGUGCCAGCAGCCGCGGUAAUACGUAGGGUGCGAGCGUUGUCCGGAAUUACUGGGUGUAAAGGGAGCGUAGGCGGCUCUGCAAGUUGGAAGUUUAAUCUAGGGGCUCAACCCCUAAUCGCUUUCAAAACUGCAGAGCUUGAGUGAAGUAGAGGUAGGCGGAAUUUCCGGUGUAGCGGUGGAAUGCGUAGAUAUCGGAAGGAACACCAGUGGCGAAGGCGGCCUACUGGGCUUUAACUGACGCUGAGGCUCGAAAGCGUGGGUAGCAAACAGG
rnacentral:rRNA from 2 species